GACCUUGGAGGUUUAGAGGAGGCAAUAGGGGUCAAAAUUACUGAUUAAAAAAAGGUUGGAGGACUUUAAGUUAUUAUAAACUGUUUGUUCUAGAUUUACUUUUCACUGCCAUCAUAUGCCACAGGUGAUGGUUGCCACUGCUGUGUUCCCCUGAUGUGGUAUAAUGUGAUUGGCAACUGGAAAGUGAUUUCAAUAAGUAGUAGGGAUAGCAGUUUAGAGGGUCUUUUUCUAGGUGAUUUAGUCGUGACGAGGGCCAAGGCAUUUUAUUGGUCUGUUUCCUUCUAGUUUUAUGAUUUGACUGUCAUUUGAUCAUCGCAUAUUCAUUUGAAUUGAGAUGAUAUGAUCA
rnacentral:misc_RNA from 1 species